CAGACCUGGAGAACAGUGGUCUGUCUGUGUGACAUCAGAGCGUUCGACUUUCGCAGCGUCCGGGGUCUUCGGCCUCGGAUUCAUCGACUCUCCCCAACCUGGGCUGUCACCUCACACGACUGAUGAACCUGAAUGGUGAGCGGAGGACCAGAGCUACCUUCCUGAGCUCCAAGGUUCUAGACUGUUGCGUCCCCUAACUGAAUGACAAACCCUAGACUCGCUGGGAAGUCAAGGUAAAGUUGUGUACGGUAUUUCCCAUCUGGUAAAGUUAUAUCAAUAAAGUUAACUUAUUGGUUUUACUAAAGCACAU
rnacentral:lncRNA from 1 species